CCUAAUCUUCAAAAUCCUCACUCGAGUAAUUUCACGGAAUUUACAGAGGACAUUUUCGUUUCUUUUAAGGAACCUCAAGAAUAUAUUUUUCAAGGAUUGGACCUUGACCAAUGCCACACUGCGUCCAAUUCCCCGAAUACAGUGGUCGAUAUCCCAGAUUUGACUACUCAAAUGAAUGAUAAUCACUUUGAAUUUCCUGAU